CGGUAUUUUAACCAGAAAGGCAACGCCUAACUACGUGCCAGCAGCCGCGGUAUACGUAGAUGGCCAAGCGUUGUCCGGAUUUAUUGGGCGUAAAGCGAGCGCAGCCGGUUUCUUAAGUCUGAUGGUGAAAGCCCCCGGCUCAACCGGGGAGGGUCAUUGGAAACUGGGAGACUUGAGUGCAGAAGAGGAGAGUGAAAUUCCAUGUGUAGCGGUGAAAUGCGUAGAUAUAUGGAGGACCACCAGUGGCGAAGGCGGCUUUCUGGUCUGUAACUGACGCUGAGGCUGGAAAGCGUGGGGAGCAAACAGGAUUAGAUACCUUGGUAGUCCACGCCGUAAACGAUGAGUGUUAAGUGUUGGAGGGUUUCCGCCCUUCAGUGCUGCAGUUAACCCAUUAACCAUUCCGCCUGGGGAGUACGACCCCAAGGUUGAAAUUCAAAGGAAUUGACGGGGGCCCGCCCAAGCGGUGGAGCAUGUGGUUUAAUUGGAAGCAACGGGAAGACCCUUACCAGGUCUUGACAUCCUUUGACCACUUUAGAGAUAGAGCUUCCCCUUCGGGGGCAAAGUGCCAGGUGGUGCAUGGUUGUCGUCAGCUCGUGUCGUGAGAUGUUGGGUUAAGUCCCGCAACGAGCGCAACCCUUAUUGUUAGUUGCCAUCAUUCAGUUGGCCAUUCUACCAAGACUGCCGGUGCCAAACCGGAGGAAGGUGGGGAGGACGUCAAAUCAUCAUGCCCCUUAUGCCUUGGGUUCCCCACGUGUUCCAAUGGGAAGUACAACGAGUUGGGAAGUCGGGAGGUUAAGUUAAUUUCUUAAAGCUUUUUUCAGUUCGGAUUCCAGGUUGCAAUUCGCCUCCAGGAAGCCGGAAUCGUUAGUAAUCGCGGAUCACCACGCCGCGGGGAAUACGUUCCCGGCCCUUGUCCCCACCGCCCGUCCCACCACGAGAGUUUGUACCACCCGAAGUCGUUGAGGUAACCUUUGGAGCCAGCC
rnacentral:rRNA from 1 species